GACGAACGCUGGCGGCGUGGAUUAGGCAUGCAAGUCGAACGGUAUCAUCCUUUCGGGGGUGAGAGAGUGGCGAACUGGUGAGUAACACGUAGGUUAUCUACCCUCAAGACGGGGACAACCCAGGGAAACUUGGGCUAAUACCGGAUGUGAGCAACUUUUAGUUGUUUGAAAGGUGGCGUAAGCUGUCGCUUGGGGAUGAGCCUGCGUCCUAUUAGUUAGUUGGUGAGGUAACGGCUCACCUAGGCAAUGAUAGGUAGGCGGCCUUAACGGGUGGUCGCCCACACUGGGAUUGAGAUACGGCCCAGACUCCUACGGGAGGCAGCAGUCGAGAAUAGUCUACAAUGGUCGGAAGACUGAUAGUGCGACGCCGCGUGAACGAUGAAUCCCUUCGGGGUGUAAAGUUCUUUUAUAUGUGAGCAGUGCUUCUUAUAUUAACAGUAUGGGGAAGAAUAUAGAUAUAGAAAUAAGACGAACGGUACUAACCUCCGUCGACCGACGCGACGCCGGUACGGUAACUCGUUACG
rnacentral:rRNA from 1 species